CAGAGCGCUCGCCCCCCGGGGCGAACCUCCCACCCUUUGCUAUACAUUGCCCUUGUUGCUUUGGCGGGCCGCCGCAAGGCCACCGGCUCCGGCUGGUGCGCGCCCGCCAGAGGACCCAAAACCCUGUCUUACAGUGUCGUCCGAGUACUAUACAAUAGUUA
rnacentral:misc_RNA from 1 species